rnacentral:rRNA from 1 species
CCUACGGGAGGCUGCAGUGGGGAAUAUUGGACAAUGGGCGAAAGCCUGAUCCAGCCAUGCCGCGUGUGUGAAGAAGGCCUUCGGGUUGUAAAGCACUUUCAGUGGGGAAGAAAGCCUUGGGGCUAAUACCCUCGAGGAAGGACAUCACCCACAGAAGAAGCACCGGCUAACUCCGUGCCAGCAGCCGCGGUAAUACGGAGGGUGCGAGCGUUAAUCGGAAUUACUGGGCGUAAAGCGCGCGUAGGCGGUCUGAUAAGCCGGUUGUGAAAGCCCCGGGCUCAACCUGGGAACGGCAUCCGGAACUGUCAGGCUAGAGGGCAGGAGAGGAAGGUAGAAUUCCCGGUGUAGCGGUGAAAUGCGUAGAGAUCGGGAGGAAUACCAGUGGCGAAGGCGACCUUCUGGACUGACACUGACGCUGAGGUGCGAAAGCGUGGGUAGCAAACAGGAUUAGAUACCCCUGUAGUC